rnacentral:rRNA from 1 species
CUACGGGGUGCUCCAGUGGGGAAUAUUGCACAAUGGGCGCAAGCCUGAUGCGGCCAUGCCGCGUGUAUGAAGAAGGCCUUCGGGUUGUAAAGUACUUUCAGCGGGGAGGAAGGGAGUAAAGUUAAUACCUUUGCUCAUUGACGUUACCCGCAGAAGAAGCACCGGCUAACUCCGUGCCAGCAGCCGCGGUAAUACGGAGGGUGCAAGCGUUAAUCGGAAUUACUGGGCGUAAAGCGCACGCAGGCGGUUUGUUAAGUCAGAUGUGAAAUCCCCGGGCUCAACCUGGGAACUGCAUCUGAUACUGGCAAGCUUGAGUCUCGUAGAGGGGGGUAGAAUUCCAGGUGUAGCGGUGAAAUGCGUAGAGAUCUGGAGGAAUACCGGUGGCGAAGGCGGCCCCCUGGACGAAGACUGACGCUCAGGUGCGAAAGCGUGGGGAGCAAACAGGAUUAGAUACCCUUGUAGUC